GUACUACUUUCUCCGUUCGGAAUUACUUGUCUCGAAAAUAGAUGUAUCUAGAACUAAAAUAAGUCUAGAUACAUCCAUUUUUACGAUAAAUAAUUCCGAACGGAGGGAGUAGUUU
rnacentral:pre_miRNA from 1 species